GGGCUGUCAUCCCUGAAACUCAAUGCUGAACUGGACACUCAGCAGGACGGUGACUAAGUGGAGCGUGCUUUAUGUGAUUUGUUGUUCUUCAAGGUUCAAAUCUCAUUAACUAUCUCUUUGAGAACAGAGAUGCAGGGAGAAAAGCACCUGCUUUAAAUAAUUCUCCAAGGAGUUGAACGAUGAAGCGGAAACAAAAGACAAAACAUCUGGAAGUCACAUACUCUCCCCAAGCUGCAAAGAUAUCAAGAGGAAACUUGAAUUUAUACAAGGGUGUUCUGCAACAAAACCAAAAUGUGCUGACCCCAACUUCAGGCCAGAAAACAGGGGAUGCUGCUUCUUGCUCCUCAGAGCAUUUCUCCUGUAUCCCCUCUGAAAACAAGCUCAUUGGGGCAGGAGGGAGAGAUCCUGAUACAGAAGCCAGCCAGCAUCUAGGCACAUACAGAUGAACUGAGUGACUCUCUCAGGAGUACACUCAAGUUUAUGCAUUCCA